CCCCAACAGGCUGCAAAGGUGGUGAGGCUGAGAAUGGGCUGAAAAUUUCAAAGCAUGAUGGAUUAGACAGAGAGAGAAACAAAAAAGAAAGGCAGACAAAGCAGGAUAGUUUCCAUACAAAUUCUUUCCAUUAUACUGUUUUGUUUUGUUUUUUUUUUUUUUUCAAAGACUGCCAAGAUGGCAGGAUUUUUGAGUGUGGAAACUAAAGAAUCAAUGCAGCCCUGCACAGAAGCUUUCCUCCUUGCCACCUGAGGUGGGGAAAAGAAACUGCUGGCACAGUUCUCAAGGCUACUGGAACAUAUGAACCUUCUUGCUGAUAUGCAACAUGCCAUCAGGAUCACCUGACACGUAUUUAGGCAGCGACAGAUUAAAGUAUCACCAUGCAGACUGAGGUACAUUUUUGUGGAUAAAAGUUACACACUGUGGACAAGCAAUAAUAGCUACGGUUCCUUCAGAGGCCACCCUGAGCUACGAGCAGAGAGGAUUAUGAGUCAACUUCGAGUUUUAAAUACAAAUGGAACUGGCUGGAUACCAAUUUGAGUCUGUUCUUCCCAGUGAUUUCCAGCAAGAGCAUAACAUCUUCCUUCAUCUAUUAUCGUUUCACUUUUUGGAUCUAACUUUUCUAAAAAUCUGAUUACAAAUUGCUUUGGAAUAUUUAAGCGAUGCCACUGGAGGCUGAGACUUUUGCUUUAAAGUCUUAUUACAACUAAUGCAAAACAAGGAUGCUGAGACCUGUAACUGAUACAGCGCAAAUAUCCUGUCAAAUAAAUGCUUUGCAGUCAGUAGAAAAGUAAAAUGCUUUGUAUCUUUAAAGCCACCACUGAAAACAGUUAAAAACCCUUAGCAGCCCCCCUUCUCUCUGCCCCCCGUAUUGCUCUAUUCUGCAUGUUACAAAGGCGUAUUAUUUUUGUUGCCGAGUUGAUUACCCCACUCAUGCUUAAACAUGUUACUGCAGAUUACAAACAUACGGCUGUAAAAAUAACUGGUUGGACUGAUUUAAGCUGCUGAUGUUAAUCUCCAAUUUGGCAUGAGGAAAUUUACUACAAAACCUCUUUGGGAUCACCGGUGCUGCUCAGUCCCACAGAGAAAAGUGCGGAUUCGUAGAGUUUGGAGUGCACUGGGAUGGGAACAGUCUCCUAUGAGAAGCUGGGAGAACUGGGGCUGUUCAGGCUGGAGAAAAGGAGACUUAUGGGGGGAUCUCACCAAUGUCCAUAAAUACCUGAAGGCAGGUUGUGGUUUCCAAGAGGAAGGACAGAGCCGGGCUCUGUCAGUGGCACCCAGUGCCAGGACAAGAGGCAGUGGGCAUAAAUUGGAACACCGGAGGAUCCCUCUGAGCACCAGGAGCACUUCUGUGCUGUCCAGGUAAUGGAGCACUGGCAUAGGCUGCCCAGAGGUUGUGGGGUCUCCUCCUUGGAGAUGUCCAAAAGCCACCUGGACAUGGGCCUGGGCACCCUUCUCUGGGUGUUCCAGCUGGAGCAGCAGUUGGGCCAGAUGGACCUGGAGGGCCUGGUCAGCCUCAGCUCUUCCAGAAUUCUGCACGAAUCCACUUAGCGCAAAG
ensembl:lncRNA